rnacentral:rRNA from 1 species
ACAUGCAAGUCGAACGGCAGCAGCAGAGCUUGCUCUGGCUGGCGAGUGGCGGACGGGUGAGUAACGCGUAGGAAUAUGCCCAGUAGCGGGGGAUAGCCCGGGGAAACUCGGAUUAAUACCGCAUACGCCCUACGGGGGAAAGCGGGGGAUCUUCGGACCUCGCACUAUUGGAGUAGCCUGCGUUGGAUUAGCUUGUUGGUGGGGUAAAAGCCUACCAAGGCGACGAUCCAUAGCUGGUCUGAGAGGACGAUCAGCCACACUGGAACUGAGACACGGUCCAGACUCCUACGGGAGGCAGCAGUAGGGAAUCUUGUGCAGUGGGGGAAACCCUGACACAGCCAUGCCGCGUGUGUGAAGA